rnacentral:rRNA from 1 species
UACGAAGGGGCUAGCGUUGCUCGGAAUUACUGGGCGUAAAGCGUGCGUAGGUGGUUUGUUAAGUCUGAUGUGAAAGCCCUGGGCUCAACCUGGGAAUUGCAUUGGAUACUGGCAGGCUAGAGUGCGGUAGAGGGUAGUGGAAUUCCCGGUGUAGCAGUGAAAUGCGUAGAGAUCGGGAGGAACAUCUGUGGCGAAGGCGACUACCUGGACCAGCACUGACACUGAGGCACGAAAGCGUGGGGAGCAAACAGGAUAGA